rnacentral:rRNA from 1 species
AGAGUUUGAUCAUGGCUCAGAUUGAACGCUGGCGGCAGGCCUAACACAUGCAAGUCGAGCGGAUGACGGGAGCUUGCUCCUUGAUUCAGCGGCGGACGGGUGAGUAAUGCCUAGGAAUCUGCCUGGUAGUGGGGGACAACGUUUCGAAAGGAACGCUAAUACCGCAUACGUUCUACGGGAGAAAGCAGGGGACCUUCGGGCCUUGCGCUAUCAGAUGAGCCUAGGUCGGAUUAGCUUGUUGGUGAGGUAAUGGCUCACCAAGGCGACGAUCCGUAACUGGUCUGAGAGGAUGAUCAGUCACACUGGAACUGAGACACGGUCCAGACUCCUACGGGAGGCAGC